AAGUCGUAACAAGGUCUCCGUAGGUGAACCUGCGGAGGGAUCAUUACCGAGUUCAUGCCCGUACGGGUAGAUCUCCCACCCUAUGUUAUCAUUACCUAUGUUGCUUUGGCGGGCCGUCAGGCUUCGGUCAGGCUACCGGCCCCGGCUGGUAAGCGCCCGCCAGAGGACCCCAAACUCUGAAUAUUAGUGUCGUCUGAGUACUAUAAAAAUAGUUAAAACUUUCAACAACGGAUCUCUUGGUUCUG
rnacentral:misc_RNA from 1 species